GAUGAACGCUAGCGGCAGGCCUAAUACAUGCAAGUCGAACGAGCUCAUACCUUUCGGGGUAUGGGUUAGUGGCGCACGGGUGCGUAACGCGUAUGCAACCUACCUUUCACUGGGGGAUAGCCCGUCGAAAGACGGAUUAAUACCGCAUAACAUCAUUUGAGGGCAUCCGAAGAUGAUCAAAGAUUUAUCGGUGGAAGAUGGGCAUGCGUGCCAUUAGCUAGUUGGCGGGGUAAAGGCCCACCAAGGCGACGAUGGCUAGGGGUUCUGAGAGGAUGGUCCCCCACACUGGUACUGAGACACGGACCAGACUCCUACGGGAGGCAGCAGUAGGGAAUAUUGGGCAAUGGAAGAGAUUCUGACCCAGCCAUGCCGCGUGCAGGAAGAAGGCCUUCUGGGUUGUAAACUGCUUUUAUAUAGGAAGAAAACGCCCUUGCGAGGGUAACUGACGGUACUAUAUGAAUAAGCACCGGCUAACUCCGUGCCAGCAGCCGCGGUAAUAC
rnacentral:rRNA from 1 species